GUAACUGGAAACUAGCAUUACAGAAUCAUAGUUUCCAGGGGCUUUCCCUACAGGGAGACUGAACUGUCCCUAGGGAUAAGACAACUAGCUGAGCAAAAUGUUCUAAGGAGUGAGGGUAAGUGGGUAAGCUAGAUAAAAUGAGAUUUCCCACUCUACAAAGAAAUGGCACAAAGAAAAUCACAAACAACUGUUAUAAAGAAAACCACUGUAAUACUAACUUCUCCAAUUAAGCCAUCAGUCCCCCAGUGCCAGUCAUGUUUUGCCUUUCAGAAUUUGGCAUCAUGUUGAGAAGCUGCUAGGCUCUGGAUAGAUUUAGCGAAUUUUUUGGAGGAAGUGAGUAACUAGCAGACUGUGAGCAUGUACUCUACGGUGAUAGACCAUUGAGCAAGCAGGUGUUGGUGGAGACACCAGGAUUUUGAUUUGGCAUCUCUUAAAUAUAACCGGCCUAUGGGGCAGCAAGUGAAGUCUUGAGAUGCUCCAAAAGGUGCUGUCUCUGGAGGUCCAGGCAUCAGAGAAAGGAAGUCUGGGCAUCUCGUAGCCACCAGCAAACAGAUGGUUCUCAAAGCCACGUGACUGGGUGAAAUCACCAAGGAAACAAGACCCAAAGAGUGAGCUUUGUGACAUCUAAUACUGACAGGUAGAAGUUCUCCCAGUAGAAGUGCUAUCAGUGUACUCAACUGAGAAAUCUACAAGAAAUUUUGUAAGAAGGUCUCUUUCCAAAGAAUGCAAAGGAAUGAUACGGAAUGAAAGGGAUAAGAAUGGAAUGGAAAAUGUUGCGUUACAGAAGAAUGUGUAUUGUUUUGUGCUACUAUUUCAGUUUCAGACUUUUACGUGUAUACAAACGUGUAAUGUAGAUCUGACAUAAAAUAUUUACUGUUAA